rnacentral:rRNA from 1 species
AGAGUUUGAUCCUGGCUCAGAACGAACGCUGGCGGCGUGCCUAAUACAUGCAAGUCGAACGAGAAUUUGGGGUAACCCAUUAGUAAAGUGGCAGACGGGUGAGUAAUACAUAAGUAACUUACCUUUUAGUUGGGGAUAACCUUCCGAAAGGAGGGCUAAUACCGAAUAAGACCACGAAAGCUACGGUUUUUGGGGUUAGAGGUGGCUUCGGCUAUCGCUAAAAGGUGGGCUUAUGCACCAUCAGCUAGUUGGCGAGGUAACGGCUCACCAAGGCUUUGACGGUUAACUGAUCUGAGAGGUUGAUCAGUCACACUGGAACUGAGACACGGUCCAGACUCCUACGGGAGGCAGCAGUAGGGAAUAUUGCGCAAUGGAGGAAACUCUGACGCAGCGACGCCGCGUGGGUGAUGAAGGCUUUCGGGUCGUAAAGCCCUGUCGGAGGGGAAGAAACACGGUAGUGCUAACACCACUACCGCUUGACGGUACCCUCAAAGGAAGCACCGGCUAACUACGUGCCAGCAGCCGCGGUAAUACGUAGGGUGCUAGCGUUGUUCGGAAUCAUUGGGCGUAAAGCGCGUGUAGGUGGCUAUGUAAGUCGAAUGUGAAAUCCCUGGGCUCAACCGAGGAAGCGCAUUCGAAACUACAUAGCUCGAGGACGGUAGAGGAAGGUGGAAUUCCUAAAGUAGAGGUGAAAUUCGUAGAUAUUAGGAGGAAUACCGGCGGCGAAGGCGGCCUUCUGGGCCGUUCCUGACACUGAGACGCGAAAGCGUGGGUAGCAAACAGGAUUAGAUACCCUGGUAGUCCACGCUGUAAACGAUGGGUACUAGGUGUUGCGGGAAUUGACCCCUGCAGUGCCGUAGCUAACGCAUUAAGUACCCCGCCUGGGAAGUACGGUCGCAAGAUUAAAACUCAAAGGAAUUGACGGGGGCCCGCACAAGCGGUGGAGCAUGUGGUUUAAUUCGAUGCCACGCGAAAAACCUUACCUGGGUUAGAAGACGUCGGACAGUCCUAGAGAUAGGAUCUCCUCUUCGGAGGCCGACGGUUAGGUGCUGCAUGGCUGUCGUCAGCUCGUAUCGUGAGAUGUCGGGUUAAGUCCCUUAACGAGCGCAACCCUUGUCUGUAGUUGCCAUCAUUCAGUUGGGCACUCUACAGAGACCGCCGGCGUUAAGCCGGAGGAAGGCGGGGAUGACGUCAAGUCCUCAUGGCCCUUAUGUCCAGGGCUACACACGUGCUACAAUGGCCGAUACAAAGGGAUGCCAACCUGUAAAGGGGAGCAAAUCUCAGAAAGUCGGUCUCAGUUCGGAUUGAAGUCUGCAACUCGACUUCAUGAAGCUGGAAUCGCUAGUAAUCGCAGAUCAGCACGCUGCGGUGAAUACGUUCCCGGGCCUUGUACACACCGCCCGUCACACCACGAAAGUCAAUUGCACCAGAAGUCACCACGCUAACCGUAAGGAGGCAGGUGCCCAAGGUGCGGUCGAUGAUUGGGGUGAAGUCGUAACAAGGUAGCCGUAGGGGAACCUGCGGCUG